rnacentral:lncRNA from 1 species
AUGUCCAGAACACUGGAAUGAGAAUCAGUUGCCGAUGUUAAAGUUCUGUUCAGUACUUUUCAAUGCAUUGUGCACAGGUGUUGUUGUCCAGAGAGUGUCAUUAUAGAUUUGACCACUAUUACAUGUUUUGUUUUUCCUUUCUGUCUUUUAUUCUAUUUGUGUAUGUGAUUUUUGUUUUUCUCUCUCUUCAUUUUUUCAUUUCCCAUGAAUUUUAGUCUCACAAAAGCCUUGUGAAAAUAUUUUAUGCCCUAUGUAUGUUAUGUAACAUGCUUAAUUACAUUUUAUAAACCAGUUUGCUGUCUUGUGUGGGUUUUUUUUUUGCCUAAUUUUUAACAGUGUAAGUAACUUUGAAGACCGGACUAGUUGCCCAAAGGGCUCCAUCUAAGUCACUGUAAGGUUGCAAGGUAAAAGUCUGUUUGCACAAAUGUUUUGUUUUGUUGGUUUCAAACAUAAUUCAAAGCGGUGUUAAGCUCAAUCCUCCAAACCUAAAUUUGUUUAUAUUUUAAAAGUAAAAUAUCAGGAAGAAUCAAACUGAUUUGUGUUCUUGGAUAAAGUUGUCACCCAUAGAAUUGUUAGAAUUGUUAUAUCAGCUAUAAAUGUGUGUGUGUGUGUGUGUGUGUGGAUGUUUCAGCCUUUUGUGUCAGUUCAUGACCUUGCUAUUCCUAGCUAACCUGUCAUUAGCGGUUAGCAAGACACAUUUGCAUAAUUUCCCAUCAUUAUGUAGUUUAACAUACAGUUUUUAAUUAAAAAAUAUAUAAUUUAGGGGUGUCGCACCAAAGGACGACAAAAUGCAACACUUAUAGUGGUUCUAAAAAAGUUAAAUAUUUGAACAAGUCUGAGACGAAACCUAACAUGAGCUUGACCUUUGAAUGGGGUCCUUCAACUAAUUAAAGUUGUCAGUGGAAUUGCCCGAUAUACACCAGAGGACAUGGUUUUCAGUGCAAAAUGUAUCAAGUUCCUACGCUUUUAGAAUUAUAUGGAUUACAAAAAUGAUUGCCAUUUACUAAAACAGACACGUAAAAAUUAUGCCUGAGGUAUUAAUAUUUUUAUGCUUUUCUUUUGAAUUUAUAAAUUCAGUGAACCAUGCUCGAGACAGUCACACCAUAGGACAAUUUUUCACAUUUUCAGUUGUGUUUAGAAAUUAUUUUAAAGUCUAACAGCACCCCAUAUAAUAUGACAACCAUACAAAAAAUAAAAAUAAAUAAAAUCCUGGAAAUUUUACUUCCUAGUUUAUUUAAUCAUAACCUUUACCCAAAUAUUACACUAGAGAUUACCUUGUCUUCUGAAUUCUGAAUUACAGUUUUAGUUAUGCAGAAGCUUAUAUUAAAACAACAAUAAAAUGUUAAGUGAAAAGCUUGUAUAUAAGAAUAUGCUUAGAGGCCCUGGAGCUAAGCAACCUUAACUUAUUUUAUUUCACUUUUUAAAAUCGACAAGAUUCAGUUUGGAUACAUUUGCCAUGUCUGUUUGAAGACUUUGACACAACUACACUUUUCACAAUAAAUUAAAUAUAGACUACAAUCGAUUUCGUUAUUCAUGUACAGGACUUUUAUUGUGAAAUGUUUUUAAACGACGACCAGGAAGUAAAUACACCACUGCAAGUCGUCGAUUUCACGUU